GAAGAAUAAUACUACAUGCCAUGAUGUUGUGAUUGAAGUCCGCGACGUCAAUCAUUCGGGCGUGGAAGACCAUACCAAGCAGCAACCAGAAUAUCACGAGAAGUCAGUGCGCGAUAGAGGACAAGGAAAAAGGAAUAAACAGCGACUCUACUGUAGCCAGGACAAUUAUUGAGGAGCGGAGAUCCGUCCAGGUGUCCAGGCAACCCAGGAGGACAAUAGUUGAAGGCACCAGAAGCCUUAAGCACGAAGCAACUCCAGAAGCCUCUGCCGCGUCUAUAAAAGGAGCUACCGAGUGAAGCAUUCAGCAUCACCAAGAAUCACCGAGACAUCAGAAAAUCAGCAACACACCACCACAUCGAGCACCGAAGAAAGCAAGAUCACCGAAGACCUCCACCCACACUCCACUCAUACUCCAUGAAGACAUCCACCACCUCGGAACCUCUCUAAGGAAAAAGAUUUAGCCACCAUAUUUAGAAUCACCCACUACCGCUGUAUUACUCCACCUCAUCCGUACCACUACUAGAAUAAAGGGAGGCCGUUGGAGCUCGUCCCUCGGUUUGUAAGGUAAUCAAGGUUUGUGCUAUGUGCUUGGGGUUUCCAGAAAGGGAAAGCUGCAUGUAAGCUUGUCCCGUGGAAAUGGAUUAAGCUGUCCUGGUAGCAUGCCUGCCUUCCUUUAAGCUCGUUCGUAUGGGGCGAUGUCUCAACGCUAGGGACCCUAGAGGAGAAACCUCUGCGUGUGUCGUUCUCGUGUUAGCCCUGGUAGCGGUGUUUGAGGAGAACCCUGUGUGCGUAGAGAAGUGUUCCCUUCAGGUGGAACUUCCUGGGGAGACGGUACAGCCUGAGUCCUGUGUGAGCGUGGCUGGGGACGGUGAGGGUGCAGACCGGGCUGGCCUGGUUCUGAAGCGAGCCAGUGAGGCAUGCGGUGAGUACCGAGUAGGACUGUCACAAUCAUAGCAGCAUGUCCGGCUGAAUUCUUUCGGUCUCGCCAACCCGCAAAGAUCCUGAGAAUAGACUUAAUCAAGGAAUAUACCUAAUCACGCACCCGUGCGUGCCAUAUCCUCUGAAAGCGACCCCGAAUAGUAGCUCAAUAGUGCGCAAUAGUGAGUGAAUAGCGCUGCCACAUUUAGGUGCUCCACCCACUCCCUGGUGAGUGCUCGGGCACUAUUCAUAUUCCCAUUUUGAAUAGUGAGCUGAAUUUAAAUAGUGCCGCGAAUUUGAAUAGUGUUCGUCGAAUUUAAAUAGUGCUGUGAAUAGUAACUCGAAAUUUGAAAUCAGAAUUUUUCGAAGUCGCUUGAAUUUCCCUCAAAGCCGUUCAAUAAUCUCCCCGCACUGGACUCUGUGUGCGUAGAGAAGUGUUCCCUUCGGGUGGAUCUGCCUGGGGAAAUGGUAGAGCCUGAGUCCUAUGUGAGCGUGGCUGGGGACGGUGAGGGUGCAGACCUGGCUGGCCUGGUUCUGAAGCGAGCCAGCGAGGCAUGCGGUGAGUACCGAGUAGGACUGUCACAAGCAUAGCAGCAUGCCCGGCUGAAUUCUUUUGGUCUCACCAACCCGCAAAGAUCCUGAGAAUAGACUUAAUCAAGGAAUAUACCUAAUCACACAACCACGCAUGCCAUAUCCUCUGAAAGUGACCCCGAAUAGUAGCUCAAUAGUGCGCAAUAGUGAGUGAAUAGCGCCGCCAUAUUUAGGUACUCCACCCACUCCCUGGUGAGUGCUCGGGCACUAUUCAUAUUCCCAUUUUGAAUAGUGAGCUGAAUUUAAAUAGUGCCGCGAAUUUGAAUAGUGUUCACCGAAUUUAAAAUUACAUCCUUUACCGGACGGAGGGAGUACUAUUUGAUUCUGUAAGUUUGUAUAAUUUGUUCCGUGAGUUUAUAUAACUUGUUCAAUUAGUAUAAUAUUUGAGUUCGUAUAAUUUGUUCUAGGUGUAUAUAUCUUAAAAGAAUCUUCUAACUUGAUGUUCAUAUUCUACUAUUUUAUCUUACACAAGAAAAUAAGUUCCCAAUGUUGCUAAAGAGUUAACAGCAAUUCGGCCGGGGAAGAAUAAUACUACAUGCCAUGAUGUUGUGAUUGAAGUCCGCGACGUCAAUCAUUCGGGCGUGGAAGACCAUACCAAGCAGCAACCAGAAUAUCACGAGAAGUCAGUGCGCGAUAGAGGACAAGGAAAAAGGAAUAAACAGCGACUCUACUGUAGCUAGGACAAUUAUUGAGGAGCGGAGAUCCGUCCAGGUGUCCAGGCAACACAGGAGGACAAUAGUUGAAGGCACCAGAAGCCUUAAGCACGAAGCAACUCCAGAAGCCUCUACCGCGUCUAUAAAAGGAGCUACCGGGUGAAGCAUUCAGCAUCACCAAGAAUCACCGAGACAUCAGAAAAUCAGCAACACACCACCACAUCGAGCACCGAAGAAAGCAAGAUCACCAAAGACCUCCACCCACACUCCACUCAUACUCCAUGAAGACAUCCACCACCUCGGAACCUCUCUAAGGAAAAAGAUUUAGCCACCAUAUUUAGAAUCACCCACUACCGCUGUAUUACUCCACCUCGUCCGUACCACUACUAGAAUAAAGGGAGGCCGUUGGAGCUCGUCCCUCGGUUUGUAAGGUAAUCAAGGUUUGUGCUAUGUGCUUGGGGUUUCCAGAAAGGGAAAGCUGCAUCUAAGCUUGUCCCGUGGAAAUGGAUUAAGCUGUCCUGGUAGCAUGCCUGCCUUCCUUUAAGCUCGUUCGUAUGGGGCGAUGUCUCAACGCUAGGGACCCUAGAGGAGAAACCUCUGCGUGUGUCGUUCUCGUGUUAGCCCUGGUAGCGGUGUUUGAGGAGAACCCUGUGUGCGUAGAGAAGUGUUCCCUUCAGGUGGAACUUCCUGGGGAGACGGUACAGCCUGAGUCCUGUGUGAGCGUGGCUGGGGACGGUGAGGGCGCAGACCGGGCUGGCCUGGUUCUGAAGCGAGCCAGUGAGGCAUGCGGUGAGUACCGAGUAGGACUGUCACAAUCAUAGCAGCAUGUCCGGCUGAAUUCUUUCGGUCUCGCCAACCCGCAAAGAUCCUGAGAAUAGACUUAAUCAAGGAAUAUACCUAAUCACGCACCCGUGCGUGCCAUAUCCUCUGAAAGCGACCCCGAAUAGUAGCUCAAUAGUGCGCAAUAGUGAGUGAAUAGCGCUGCCACAUUUAGGUGCUCCACCCACUCCCUGGUGAGUGCUCGGGCACUAUUCAUAUUCCCAUUUUGAAUAGUGAGCUGAAUUUAAAUAGUGCCGCGAAUUUGAAUAGUGUUCACCGAAUUUAAAAUUACAUCCUUUACCGGACGGAGGGAGUACUAUUUGAUUCUGUAAGUUUGUAUAAUUUGUUCCGUGAGUUUAUAUAACUUGUUCAAUUAGUCUAAUAUUUGAGUUCGUAUAAUUUGUUCUAGGUGUAUAUAUCUUAAAAGAAUCUUCUAACUUGAUGUUCAUAUUCUACUAUUUUAUCUUACACAAGAAAAUAAGUUCCCAAUGUUGCUAAAGAGUUAACAGCAAUUCGGCCGGGGAAGAAUAAUACUACAUGCCAUGAUGUUGUGAUUGAAGUCCGCGACGUCAAUCAUUCGGGCGUGGAAGACCAUACCAAGCAGCAACCAGAAUAUCACGAGAAGUCAGUGCGCGAUAGAGGACAAGGCAAAAGGAAUAAACAGCGACUCUACUGUAGCCAGGACAAUUAUUGAGGAGCGGAGAUCCGUCCAGGUGUCCAGGCAACACAGGAGGACAAUAGUUGAAGGCACCAGAAGCCUUAAGCACGAAGCAACUCCAGAAGCCUCUGCCGCGUCUAUAAAAGGAGCUACCGGGUGAAGCAUUCAGCAUCACCAAGAAUCACCGAGACAUCAGAAAAUCAGCAACACACCACCACAUCGAGCACCGAAGAAAGCAACAUCACCGAAGACCUCCACGCACACUCCACUCAUACUCCAUGAAGACAUCCACCACCUCGGAACCUCUCUAAGGAAAAAGAUUUAGGCACCAUAUUUAGAAUCACCCACUACCGCUGUAUUACUCCACCUCGUCCGUACCACUACUAGAAUAAAGGCAGGCCGUUGGAGCUCGUCCCUCGGUUUGUAAGGUAAUCAAGGUUUGUGCUAAGUGCUUGGG
rnacentral:lncRNA from 1 species